CAUUAUUCUGCUUUCAGUUUUAAAACCAGUGAGAUGGGGGGUGGUAAGAAAACAUCCCCACUGCAAGAUGGCAUUGGUAGAGCUGUGAUGGUGACAACCAAGAAGUAACAAGAGUGAUGGCAUUUGAAUCAACUCAGGUCAAGAAAUGUCCAAAAUGUCCAGCACGCUUUUUGAUCUUUAGUGGAAGUGUAACGUGUGAAACACGCUCACUGGCUACGGACACCUUGCCCUGCUCUCACUUCCAGUGGAUGGUGCGGAGAAGGUCACCACAUCUCAGUGAGAAAUACAGAACCGGCUGGUGCUUGGAGAAUGGAUGUGUCUUCCUACGAGGCCUUGUGGCUCUCAUGAGAGUACGGCAUUCAAACUUUUGGGUUCCUUUAAAAAAAAAAAAAGUCAUUAUUAAAUCUCUGCCAAGAUUUAAAAAGUGAAGUGGAUGUAGUGACUUCAUGUUUGAAUGAAAGAGGCAGUUCAUUGGGUGGAGUUAAUGAGGGCAGAGGUGACUCAUGGAGUCCUGAGUUGUGCAUAUAAUUACAGCUCAUUUAGAAAUAAGCACGUAUGUACAUGACCUUUAUUCUCCACCAAAGCUGCACAAACGUCCGCUUCCAUGCUGACACAGACAACCAAUGGAAAGAAAUUCAAACAGCAGGAGCCCGACAUCUGAUCACGUUCCAGGAGAUUAGAUGGCGCUGAGCGGAUGAGGCGUUGAGAAAUACCACGCGUACAUUAAUCACACACCUCGAGAGGUCAAGGUGCCCAACUGACGGCGGCUGGUCUCCACCACUGUGCUGGCUUGGGUUGAUAAUAGUUCUCCAGACUGACACUGCAUCUCUGAACUUCCCUAUUCCUGUCACCAGCUUCCAGCUUCUCGCACGUUCAACCCUUUAGAGGAAACUGCCUCUUCCUUCCCUUCAAUAAUCCCUGAUGCUUGGAUUCUUCUUCAUGGUUCGCAGUCCCCUGUCCCCGAGUCGUGUUAGUCUUUGCCCUUAAAAUCUCAUCCUUGGGGCACCUGGGUGGCUCAGGGGUUGAGGUCUGCCUUCAUCUCAGGGUAUGAUCCUGGGGUCCUGGGAUCGAGUCCCACGUCGGGCUCCCUGCAUGGAGCCUGCUUCUCCCUCUGCCUGUGUCUCUGCCUCUCUCUGUGUGUCUCUCAUGAAUAAAUAAAUAAAAUCUUAAAAAAAAAAUCUCAUCCUCGCCCUUCUCUCCUGUUAUUUCCUAUUUACGUGGAUCCUCUCC
rnacentral:lncRNA from 1 species